rnacentral:rRNA from 1 species
GACGAACGCUGGCGGCGUGCUUAACACAUGCAAGUCGAGCGGAAAGGCCCUGCGGGGUACUCGAGCGGCGAACGGGUGAGUAACACGUGAGUAACCGGCCCCAGACUUUGGGAUAACCCUCGGAAACGGGGGCUAAGACCGGAAACGACACAGCUACGCAUGGGGGCUGGGUGGAAAGGUGAACGGCGUGGGCUGGGCCCGCGGCCAAUCAGCUUGUUGGUGGGGUGAUGGCCUACCAAGGCGACGGCGGGUAGCCGGCCGGGGAGGUGGACCGGCCACACUGGGACUGCGGGACGGCCCAGUCUCCUACCGGCGGCAGCAGUGGGGAGUCUUGCGCAGUGGCCGGACGCCUGAUGCAGCGGCCCCGCGUGCGUGAUGCCGGCCUUCGGGUUGUAAACCUCUUUCUGCAGGGACGUAGCGUUCGUGACGGUACCUGCAGAAGAAGCGCCGGCCAACUACGUG